GGGAAAUCUUACCGGGUCCGGACACACUGAGGAUUGACAGGUGUUUUGCUUAAAGCACAUUGCUGCAUUUAUUUGUAGCUUUGUGUUAUUUUUGCACUUUAAAUAUGCUAGUCCUUUCAUGAUUGUGUGAUAGGUGGUGCAUGGCCGUUCUUAGUUCGUGGAGUGAUCUGUCUGCUUAAUUGCGUUUCACAAAUGAUUCUGACAGGGCUCUUUCUGCACCUUGUGACCUCACACUUCGGUGUGAUUGUGUCCGGUGCGGUAGACUCUGAUGAAUCUUGAAAGCAACGA
rnacentral:rRNA from 1 species